rnacentral:rRNA from 1 species
AAAUUGAAGAGUUUGAUCAUGGCUCAGAUUGAAUGCUGGCGGCAGGCCUAACACAUGCAAGUCGAACGGUAACAGGAAACAGCUUGCUGUUUCGCUGACGAGUGGCGGACGGGUGAGUAAUGUCUGGGAAACUGCCUGAUGGAGGGGGAUAACUACUGGAAACGGUAGCUAAUACCGCAUAACGUCGCAAGACCAAAGAGGGGGACCUUCGGGCCUCUUGCCAUCGGAUGUGCCCAGAUGGGAUUAGCUUGUUGGUGGGGUAACGGCUCACCAAGGCGACGAUCCCUAGCUGGUCUGAGAGGAUGACCAGCCACACUGGAACUGAGACACGGUCCAGACUCCUACGGGAGGCAGCAGUGGGGAAUAUUGCACAAUGGGCGCAAGCCUGAUGCAGCCAUGCCGCGUGUAUGAAGAAGGCCUUCGGGUUGUAAAGUACUUUCAG